rnacentral:SRP_RNA from 1 species
GGAACCAUGCGAGGGGCCGCCGCCCAACCCCGCCAGGUCCGGAAGGAAGCAACGGUAAGCGGAUUGCCCCUGCGCCGUGGGGGCGCA